rnacentral:rRNA from 1 species
UACAUGGGGUGCAAACGUUGCUCGGAAUUAUUGGGCGUAGAGCGCACGUAGGCGGUUCGUUAAGUCGGAUGUGAAAGCCCUCGGCUCAACUGAGGAAGUGCACCCGAAACUGGCGAGCUUGAGUACGAAAGAGGAUCGCGGAAUUCCCGGUGUAGAGGUGAAAUUCGUAGAUAUCGGGAGGAACACCGGUGGCGAAGGCGGCGAUCUGGGUCGAUACUGACGCUGAGGUGCGAAAGCGUGGGGAGCGAACAGG